UCCGAUAUCCAGGCCAAAUCUGGAGCGGGUAUAGUAUAACAGCUCCGAAUCUGAAUUUAUUAAUUCCAAUGUGGAUCCGGGGCCUAGACGGUGGCGGUGACGGUGGCGGUGGAUUAAACGAUUAAAUCAAAAGAAGGCUCUCGGCCAGCGCAAAAUUAGGGCGUCAUCAAAUCUUAGAAUCAGCAAUCGUCUCCCUCUUCUGCUGUCCAAUUCCAGCAAAGGCUUUGCAAGAGAUAUUUUCAGAUCUAGCCGUCGCCCUUUUUUCUUCUGUUCUAACUCGAGCGCUUUUGCUAGAGAUAUUUUCAUAUCUAACAUCCUCUUACUGCUUACAUAGCUCCUAAUAAGCUUCUGUUUUAGAAGAUCACAGAGCAAACGAUUAAGCAUGUCGCGAACAACAGAGAAAGGGAGAAUUGGGAGACUGUCCUUCAGCUGUAUUUUUGGAAAGCAUGAAAGGAAAACAACAGGAAACCUCGUGGUGUGCUUAACGCAAGUGGAUGGUUAUGCGGAUCCAAUGGUUUAUUCUUUCAAGUCUUUUCCAAUUCGGAAAUUGAUUCACCAUUCUUCAAGCAGGCUUAAACCGAAAGAGGAGUUUGUCUGGCAUGAGAUAAAGGAUGCAUUUGAUGCAUGCACUCCACAUUACUUUGCUAUGAGUUUGAUUCAUACUGGAGGUUUGGUUUAUGUUGUUGGUGGUGUGAAGGCCGAUGAGGAAGAGAGGCACUUGUAUGAGCCAGGCAGGUUGCCCCGAGAGUUCAGUUGCAUCUCUCUCUCAACUCCUCUAGGAAACUCUCGAGCAGAGAUUAAGUGCCCAAUGCAUGGGGCAAAGUAUUUCCCGCUUAUAGAGGAAAUUGAUGGUUGCAUCUAUGUUCUAUCUGGCCCCCUGCCCAGCUAUGGAUCUCCUGAUAUAAUUGACAUCGGCUUUGAGGUUUAUUAUCCUUCAGAGGAUAGGUGGGCUGAUCUGCCGAUUCCUCCUUUUCUCAAAAAAGGUAGUUACUCCAUUAUGUUUAGGGGCUUCUUUUCAUAUGUAGUGAUUGGUUCAAGGUUGUGUGUUUCGACUGGGGAAUACGCGUGUGCUUUUGACACUGUGCAGUGGGAGUGGGAGGCUUGUGAGUUAUUUUCUGAUUUCCCGAUUCAACCUGCCGAACAUUUUGUGCGACACCUAGAUGGUUGCGGUCCUCCAUUUCCUUUUGAGAAAAAAGCCAUCCUAUAUAAAGACAAUAUCUUCUUGUGCAUUAUGCCUGCCGUCCAUCUUCCUGUCUGUCUCUUUCAAAUUUGCGAUGGGAAAGCGGUAAAAAUGCCACUUUUAUUGGAUGGCAUACCAAAUGGAGGUGCUGUUGAUCUUGUUGAUUUAGGAAAUGAUUACUUUGCUGUAAUGCUUUUUGAAUACGAAACAGAGGGACAGGCCGAAGAUCUGACAAUUGUCACUUUCAAGCUGCUUUCAGAAAGAGGGGGAGAUGGAGCUCUGAGUUGUGCAUUGAAAAAAACAGAACAAAAAAAAAAAAGUUUGUUUUCGUGGAUGAUGUCCACUGGGAUUUCUUGCAGUUAUGUUCCAAUGUUUGGAGAAACUGACUAUGAUCCUGGCCGUUAUAUUUCACAUAUAAGUUUUGAUGAACAACUUGAUGCUUUAGGCAGAGCUGUUGAUGCUGGUAAGAUCAGAUACAUCGGACUAAGCAAUGAGACUCCGUAUGGAGUCAUGAAGUUUCUGGAAAUUGCCCAAAAGCAACCUCACUAUCCAAGGAUAGUAUCUUUGCAGAACUUGUGCAACUUGCUCUGGCGGGGCUUUUUUUUCAAGAAUGCGUACAACUUGCUUUGCCGGAACUUUGAUUUUGGGAUGGCUGAAUGCUGUCACCAUGAGAGGUACCCCUUAGUACUGAAUGUGUGUAUGAUCUGCACAACUGAGUUAAGCCUCACUUAUACUGGGAAUACUCCUUCCAUCCACUAGGAAGCUCCAAAAAUUAUUGAGAAAGUGAUUGCUCACUAAUAUCCUAUGAAUCAUAUCUUGAAAUUGCUGAAGAAUACGACGUCCACCCGGUGUCUCUUGCAAUUGCCUUUGUUCUUCGACACCCUCUUGUUGCAAGUGCCAUUUUUGGAGCUACAACAGUGUGACAAAUCCAAGAGGUUCUCAAUGCCUGCAGUGUCAAUCUGAGUGAUGACAUUAUUGGAGAUGUUAACAAGGUGCAUUCAAGGUUCCCAAAUCCCUGCCCCUGAUAAGUGCCUUUUGUUUUGUAGUAUAACCAUUGGAAGGUUAAAGAUAUUGGUGUCUCUUUGUACAUUAUGGAGGAACUGAUCUGGCUUAGAGAUUGUUAGCAUGGUAAUUUGAAUCUUGAAAAUCUGGCUGGGAUUUUCUGUCACCGAUCAAUGUAUUUUUUUCAAGUUUUGGAAUUUUAUGGAACUUGGCGAGGAGCUAAUUACAUGGACUUUGUUGGGGGAAACUUUUGGCUCCUUACAAGGCCUGUGAUGUGCUGCGGAAGAGUCAAAAAUGAUUCAAGGGUCUUUUAGGGACCAAAGGGAUGUCUGGAACUCAAGAUCAGUGCAAUAUGUGGCUUCUAGAUGAUGUUGCGGGCGUACAAGUCCCCACUGUACACAUAUAUUACUCUAUGAUUUGUGAAGAUUUUAUUUAUUGCAUAUAUAUAUUUAUUUAUUAGCGGACAGUAUCUCCCUUAAAUUGGCUGCCGCCUGCUGGAAA